rnacentral:rRNA from 1 species
ACAAAGGGCAGCUAAACCGCGAGGUCAAGCAAAUCCCAUAAAGUUGUUCUCAGUUCGGAUUGUAGUCUGCAACUCGACUACAUGAAGCUGGAAUCGCUAGUAAUCGUAGAUCAGCAUGCUACGGUGAAUACGUUCCCGGGUCUUGUACACACCGCCCGUCACACCACGAGAGUUUGUAACACCCGAAGCCGGUGGAGUAACCUUUUAGGAGCUAGCCGUC